rnacentral:rRNA from 1 species
AUGGUGAUGACAUGGUACAUUAUUUCUUGCUCCCUCUACCCUGAUUCAUGGUUGAUCUUCUUGCUCUUCAGCAAGAAGUAUAUCCACUCCUACAGUUGUUUCCUUCUUUUCUACAUGGUGCUACUUUGCAUUGUCUGUAAGUGUAUAUCUGCUCCUACAGUGCAGUUGUGUAAAUCGAUUUCUAAUCCUUUGUCUAUUUACACUAGCAGGUUACUUCAAUCGUUUGAUGGAUUCUGCCAUACUAACAAAUGCUUAAUGUUGCUAUUUUGCCUUGAAUUUCAUAAUGCUAUUACAAGUAUUCAGUCAAUGGCAAAUCCUUACUCUCAAGUGGUUAUCUUUUACUUGAUUUAG